UAGAGCAUGAGUUCUGUGGAAAGAUGUCCAAACAGGAACGUGAGAUGGCCCAGUGCAGUUAAUAACAUGAGAAUGAGGGUAUGCUUGUGUGUUGACAGAUAAUGGAACACCAUUAUGGAAGCCAUACAUGGAGAGAAGAGAUUCCUAAAUCCAUGAUGGAGUCCACUGCCAUGAGGCCCGCCAGUGCAAGCCUUCUUGUAGAUGACCCUGAAGGAUACUCCUUACCCAUUGAUGACCACACAGACAGCACAGCCCAUGACAUGGGGACAAGGGGAGAAGACAACCCAGAAGGCUAAAAGGAUGAUAUCUGAGGGUCUGAUCAGUUCCCAGGAGUUGCAACACUUUCUGACUUUAUUGAAAAACACUAUUUACACAUUCAGGAAACUCAAAGAACUCUAAGUAAAAUAACAAUGAAGAGAACAACAAUCAGACAUAUCAUAGGGUAAGUGUAAAAAGCCAAAAACAAAGAGAAAAUUAUGAGAGCAGCAUGAGAAAACUUACUUGUCAUUUACAAGGAAACUCCACAAAAAUUAACAACU
rnacentral:lncRNA from 1 species